rnacentral:rRNA from 1 species
UAUUCCCCACUGCUGCCUCCCGUAGGAGUCUGGUCCGUGUCUCAGUACCAGUGUGGGGGAUAAGCCUCUCAGCUCCCCUAGACAUCGUCGCCUUGGUAAGCCGUUACCUUACCAACUAGCUAAUGUCACGCAUGCCCAUCCGUAACCACCGAAGCUUUCGUUGUAAUAUCAUGCGGUACCACAACAAUAUGGGGGAUUAGUGGAAGUUUCCCUCCGUUAUACCCCUGUUACAGGUAGGUUGCAUACGCGUUACGCACCCGUGCGCCGGUCGUCGCCAAAGUAUUGCUACCUCGCGUUACCCCUCGACUUGCAUGUGUUAAGCCUGCCGCCAGCGUUCAUCCUGAGCCAA